rnacentral:rRNA from 1 species
UACGUAGGGGGCAAGCGUUAUCCGGAAUUACUGGGCGUAAAGCGCACGCAGGCGGUUUGCCAAGUUUGGAGUGACAGUUGUUGGCUCAACCGACAAAGGACUUCAAAAAGCUGGUGAACUUGAGGACGAGAGAGGAACAUGGAACUCCAGGUGUAGUAGUGAAAUGCGUAGAUAUCUGGAAGAACACCAAUGGCGAAGGCACUUUACUGGGCUAGUUACUAACACUCAGAGACGAAAGCUAGGGUAGCAAAUGGG